AACGAACGCUGGCGGCAUGCCUAACACAUGCAAGUCGAACGAAGGCUUCGGCCUUAGUGGCGCACGGGUGAGUAACGCGUGGGAAACUGCCUAUUGGUGGGGAAUAACGACGGGAAACUGUCGCUAAUACCGCAUAAGCCCUUCGGGGGAAAGAUUUAUCGCCGAUAGAUGUGCCCGCGUCCGACUAGCUAGUUGGUGAGGUAAUGGCUCACCAAGGCGACGAUCGGUAGCUGGUCAGAGAGGAUGAUCAGCCACACUGGGACUGAGACACGGCCCAGAAUCCUACGGGAGGGAGCAGUGGGGAAUAUUGGACAAUGGGCGAAAGCCUGAUCCAGCAAUGCCGCGUGAGUGAUGAAGGCCUUAGGGUUGUAAAGCUCUUUCGGGUGGGACGAUGAUGACGGUACCACCAGAAGAAGCCCCGGCUAACUUCGUGCCAGCCGCCGCAGUAA
rnacentral:rRNA from 1 species